AAGAGAUCGGGAUAACACCUGGAAACAGAUGCUAAUACCGGAUAACAAUAGAUGAUGCCUAUCAACUGUUUAAAAGAUGGUUCUGCUAUCACUCUUGGAUGGACCUGCGGUGCAUUAGCUAGUUGGUAGGGUAACGGCCUACCAAGGCGAUGAUGCAUAGCCGAGUUGAGAGACUGAUCGGCCACAUUGGGACUGAGACACGGCCCAAACUCCUACGGGAGGCAGCAGGG
rnacentral:rRNA from 1 species